GAUGAACGCUGGCGGCGUGCCUAAUACAUGCAAGUCGAGCGAGAUGUUAGCGCAUGAACCUUCGGGGGAUUAUGCUAACGGACAGCGGCGGACGGGUGAGUAACGCGUAGGCAACCUGCCCCUGACAGAGGGAUAGCCAUUGGAAACGAUGAUUAAAACCUCAUGACACCGUAGAAGCACAUGCUUCAUCGGUCAAAGAUUUAUCGGUCAGGGAUGGGCCUGCGUCUGAUUAACUAGUUGGUGAGGUAACGGCUCACCAAGGUGACGAUCAGUAGCCGACCUGAGAGGGUGAUCGGCCACAUUGGAACUGAGACACGGUCCAAACUCUACGGAGGCAGCAGUAGGGAAUCUUGCACAAUGGGCGAAAGCCUGAUGCAGCAACGCCGCGUGAAGGAUGAAGGCCUUCGGGUUGUAAACUUCUGUUCUAAGGGAAGAAACAAAUGACGGUACCUUAGGAGCAAGCAAGGGU
rnacentral:rRNA from 1 species